GCGGUAAUAGCUCAGUUGGCAGAGCGUUGGCUUCCCAAGCCGAAGGUCGCGGGUUCGAACCCCGUUUACCGCU
rnacentral:tRNA from 1 species